GUCCACGCCGUAAACGAUGGGUACUAGGUGUCUGGGGGAGCGACCCCCUGGGUGCCGGCGCUAACGCAUGAAGUACCCCGCCUGGGGAGUACGGCCGCAAGGCUGAAACUCAAAGGAAUUGACGGGGGCCCGCACAAGCGGUGGAGCAUGUGGUUUAAUUCGACGCAACGCGAAGAACCUUACCUAGGCUUGACAUGCAGGAGAAAGCUCGCAGAAACGUGAGCCCCUCUUCGGAGUUCCUGCACAGAUGCUGCAUGGCUGUCGU
rnacentral:rRNA from 1 species